UACGUAGGGGGCGAGCGUUGUCCGAAUUUACUGGGCGUAAAGCGCGCGUAGGCGGUUUCUUAAGUCUGGGGUGAAAGGUUCAACGCUCAACGUGAACAGUGCCUUGGAUACUGGGAGACUUGAGUCUGGGAGGGGGUAGUGGAAUUCCUGGUGUAGCGGUGAAAUGCGUAGAUAUCAGGAGGAACACCGGUGGCGAAGGCGGCUACC
rnacentral:rRNA from 1 species